rnacentral:rRNA from 1 species
ACGCGAAAGGCCCCUUCGGGGGCCGAGUAGAGUGGCGUCCGGGUGAGUAACACGUAGGUAAUCUACCUCUGGGCGGGGAAUAACAGCCGGAAACGGCUGCUAAUACCGCAUAACGCAGCGGCACCACAUGGUGACAGUUGUUAAAGCGGGGGAUCGUAAGACCUCGCGCCUGGAGAGGAGCCUGCGGCGGAUUAGCUAGUUGGUGGGGUAAUGGCUCACCAAGGCAACGAUCCGUAGCCGGCCUGAGAGGGCGGUCGGCCACACUGGCACUGACAUACGGGCCAGACUCCUACGGGAGGCAGCAGUCGGGAAUUUUGGGCAAUGGGCGAAAGCCUGACCCAGCAACGCCGCGUGGAGGAUGAAGUUUCUCGGAAUGUAAACUCCGUAAGAAUGGGACGAAUAAGGAGGGGCCAAUACCCCCUUCGAUGACGGUACCAUUCGUAAGCUCCGGCUAACUCCGUGCCAGCAGCCGCGGUAAUACGGGGGGAGCAAGCGUUG